UACGUAGGGUGCGAGCGUUGUCCGGAUUUAUUGGGCGUAAAGAGCUCGUAGACGGUUCGAUAAGUCGGACGUGAAAUCUCCACGCUCAACGUGGAGGGGCCGUUCGAUACUGUCGUGACUCGAGUCCGGUAGGGGAGUGUGGAAUUCCCGGUGUAGCGGUGAAAUGCGCAGAGGUCGGGAGGAACACCCGUAGCGAAGGCGGCACUCUGGGCCGGUACUGACGCUGAGGAGCGAAAGCGUGGGGAGCAAACAGG
rnacentral:rRNA from 1 species